UACGUAGGGUGCAAGCGUUAAUCGGAAUUACUGGGCGUAAAGCGUGCGCAGGCGGUUUUGUAAGUUCAGAUGUGAAAUCCCCCGGGCUUAACCUGGGAACUGCGUUUGAAACUACAAGGCUAGAGUGUGGCAGAGGGGGUGGAAUUCCACGUGUAGCAGGUGAAAUGCGUAGAGAUGUGGAGGAACACCGAUGGCGAAGGCA
rnacentral:rRNA from 1 species